rnacentral:pre_miRNA from 1 species
UUUCUCUCUGUGCAUGUAUGUGUGCAUGUUCGUGUGCAUGUAUGUGUGCAUGCCUGUAUGUAGGCUCAUAUCAUGU